rnacentral:rRNA from 1 species
AUUGAACGCUGGCGGCAGGCUUAACACAUGCAAGUCGAGCGGAGAUGAGGUGCUUGCACCUUAUCUUAGCGGCGGACGGGUGAGUAAUGCUUAGGAAUCUGCCUAUUAGUGGGGGACAACAUUCCGAAAGGAAUGCUAAUACCGCAUACGUCCUACGGGAGAAAGCAGGGGAUCUUCGGACCUUGCGCUAAUAGAUGAGCCUAAGUCGGAUUAGCUAGUUGGUGGGGUAAAGGCCUACCAAGGCGACGAUCUGUAGCGGGUCUGAGAGGAUGAUCCGCCACACUGGGACUGAGACACGGCCCAGACUCCUACGGGAGGCAGCAGUGGGGAAUAUUGGACAAUGGGGGGAACCCUGAUCCAGCCAUGCCGCGUGUGUGAAGAAGGCCUUAUGGUUGAAGCACUUUAAGCGAGGAGGAGGCUACUGAGACUAAUACUCUUGGAUAGUGGACGUUACUCGCAGAAUAAGCACCGGCUAACUCUGUGCCAGCCGCCGCAGUAAAAC